rnacentral:rRNA from 1 species
AUGGACAAUAAUGUUACCAUUCCUCACAUCUCACACCAACUUCGAGUUCAGGAGAUUAUACAAAUCAAUGGGCGUCAGCUCAAAAUCACAAUGGCAAACCCAGAAACAUCAAGCCACGGACCAACUACAACCUUCCCAAGUUCCCAUGUUACAGCAUAUAUACGACCCAGAACACAGCUUAUUAAGGUGAUCGCCAACGAAUGCAGCAAGAGCACAUCACUCGGCAGAACCACAGCCCCGUUCUUGAACUCAGCAAAGCGACACGGUACUCUCGGUAAAAGCAAAACAACGCACACGCCAGGACAUGCGUCUUAG